AGCGAACGCUGGCGGCAGGCUUAACACAUGCAAGUCGAGCGGGCAUCUUCGGAUGUCAGCGGCAGACGGGUGAGUAACACGUGGGAACGUACCCUUCGGUUCGGAACAACUCUGGGAAACUGGAGCUAAUACCGGAUACGCCCUUAUGGGGAAAGGUUUACUGCCGAAGGAUCGGCCCGCGUCUGAUUAGCUAGUUGGUGGGGCAACGGCCUACCAAGGCGACGAUCAGUAGCUGGUCUGAGAGGAUGAUCAGCCACACUGGGACUGAGACACGGCCCAGACUCCUACGGGAGGCAGCAGUGGGGAAUAUUGGACAAUGGGCGCAAGCCUGAUCCAGCCAUGCCGCGUGAGUGAUGAAGGCCUUAGGGUUGUAAAGCUCUUUUGUCCGGGACGAUAAUGACGGUACCGGAAGAAUAAGCCCCGGCUAACUUCGUG
rnacentral:rRNA from 1 species